GUUAUAUUAUAAACAAAACAGAGGAAAGGGAAGAGGUGAUGUCCCUCAAAGGGACUACCCAGAACCUAAUGACUCAACAAGUCCAGCAACCUCGACCGAGUCGGACCCUCUUUCACAACUCUUAGGAACUCUAGGACCUUACCUCGCUAUCCUUCUUCGUCUUCUUGGUGC
rnacentral:sRNA from 1 species